AUGGGCAGCUACAAUGCGUUCCUGGAGACCACGCUACCGCUGGAGCACCGCAUCUAUGACCCGGACGUGGAGUCGUUGUAUGGCCCUCCCAUGGGUGUCUUCAAGUUCCGGCACUGGGGCUACAUGGAGGGCCCGUUCAAGGGCCACCCUCCGCACUGCCGCCGCAUCGAGUUCUUCGGCGUCCGUGUCUUCCACGUCGAUGAAGACACCAAGGUGGAGAAGGCAGAGUUCUUCUACGAGCGUGGCAACUUCCUCGCAAGCUUCUUGUCUGUGCCUGCUACUUCUGCUUCUGCUGCAUCGGCUUCAGGUUGCCUUGUGAUGAGAGGAGAUUGA
rnacentral:rRNA from 1 species